rnacentral:rRNA from 1 species
GUAGUCUGCAACCCGACUACAUGAAGCUGGAAUCGCUGUAAAUCGCAGAUCAGAAUGCUGCGGUGAAUACGUUCCCGGGUCUUGUACACACCGCCCGUCACACCAUGGGAGUUGGAAAUGCCCGAAGCCAGUGACCCAACCGUAAGGAGGGAGCUGUCGGAAGGUGGAGCCGAUGACUGGGGUGAAGUCGUAACAAGGUAUC